rnacentral:rRNA from 1 species
UAGGGAAUCUUCGGCAAUGGGGGGAACCCUGACCGAGCAACGCCGCGUGAGUGAAGAAGGUUUUCGGAUCGUAAAGCUCUGUUGUUAAGGAAGAACGAGUGUGAGAAUGGAAAGUUCAUGCUGUGACGGUACUUAACCAGAAAGGGACGGCUAACUACGUGCCAGCAGCCGCGGUAAUACGUAGGUCCCGAGCGUUGUCCGGAUUUAUUGGGCGUAAAGCGAGCGCAGGCGGUUAGAAAAGUCUGAAGUGAAAGGCAGUGGCUCAACCAUUGUAGGCUUUGGAAAGUGUUUAACUUGAGUGCAGAAGGGGAGAGUGGAAUUCCAUGUGUAGCGGUGAAAUGCGUAGAUAUAUGGAGGAACACCGGUGGCGAGAGCGGCUCUCUGGUCUGUAACUGACGCUGAGGCUCGAAAGCGUGGGGAGCGAACAGG